rnacentral:rRNA from 1 species
CGGAGGAUCCAAGCGUUAUCCGGAUUCAUUGGGUUUAAAGGGUGCGUAGGCGGAACGAUAAGUCAGUGGUGAAAGCCUGCAGCUUAACUGCAGAACUGCCAUUGAUACUGUCGAUCUUGAGUACAUUUGAUGAGGGCGGAAUGUGUCAUGUAGCGGUGAAAUGCUUAGAUAUGACACAGAACACCGAUCGCGAAGGCAGCUCUCAAAACUGUAACUGACGCUGAGGCACGAAAGCGUGGGUAUCAAACAGGAUUAGAUACCCUGGUAGUCCACGCUGUAAACUAUGAUCACUCGAUGUUUGCGAUAUACUGUAAGCGUCUAAGCGAAAGCGAUAAGUGAUCCACCUGGGGAGUACGCUCGCAAGAGUG